rnacentral:rRNA from 1 species
AGUGAACGCUGGCGGCGUGCUUAACACAUGCAAGUCGAACGAGUAAGUGUCUGUAGCAAUACAGAGGUACUGCCAGUGGCAGACGGGUGAGCAAUACAUGGGAAUCUGCCUCGAAGUCUGGGAUAACUACUGGAAACGGUAGCUAAUACCGGAUAUUGCCUAAGGGUGAAAGUUUUUCGCUUCGAGAUGAGCCCAUGCAAGAUUAGCUAGCUGGUAGGGUAAAAGCCUACCAAGGCAAAGAUCUUUAGCUGGUCUUAGAGGAUGAUCAGACACACUGGAACUGAGACACGAUCCAGACUCCAGCGGGAGGCAGCAGUGGUGAAUAUUGGACAAUGGGCGAAAGCCUGAUCCAGCAAUGGCGCGUGUGUGAAGAAGGCCUUCGGGUUGUAAAGCACUUUCGGUGGGGAAGAAAAAGCCAAAGAUAAUACCUUUGGAAAUUGACGUUACCCACAGAAGAAGCACUGG